rnacentral:rRNA from 1 species
UACGGAGGGGGCGAGCGUUGUUCGGAAUUACUGGGCGUAAAGCGCGUGUAGGCUGCUUUGCAAGUCGGAUGUGAAAGCCCCGGGCUCAACCUGGGAAGUGCACUCGAAACUGCAGAGCUCGAGUCCUGGAGAGGAAGGCGGAAUUCUCGGUGUAGAGGUGAAAUUCGUAGAUAUCGAGAGGAACACCGGUGGCGAAGGCGGCCUUCUGGACAGUGACUGACGCUGAGACGCGAAAGCGUGGGGAGCAAACAGG